UACCUACAUUUUUUAUGUAUUAAGUAACUCUUAAAUGUUGUUAUUAAUAAAAUAUUAACGCUAACUGUACCUAAACUAACCUUUGAUCACACAUGCUUACCUUUGCUGUAAAUUGAAACUUUUGUUUUUCGUUAAAAUAUUGGUAAAAUUUUAUAUUUGCUGAUCAUAAGGAACAUUUUUAGACAGUGCUUGUAAACCUUUUUCGCAAUGUUAAUUUUCACAGUUUUGCAUUGAAGUUUAUCUAAAAGUUUUUAACUUUUACGACAAAAAUGUUUACGAUUUCUUUGUCUGAAUUUGCAAAAUUUUGGUAUAAAUCGAGACCCCGAGUUCAUUAAAAAGAAUUAAAUCAGUGUUAUUAUACCGUGUUCAUCAAGAACCUGCAAAGUAUUGUGAUUGUGCUUCAACGAGAGGAUUCCCUGCAAAAAUCAUGUUCGUAAGUUUUUUACUGAUUCACUUUGAUUGUGUUUAUUGUGUGAGUGCUAAUUUAGUGUGUUAUGUUUAUUAAAUCAUCUUUAGGUCGGACAUUGAGUAUUACAACAAGGUUGAAGCCAAGCCUCGAGCUGCCCGCAAGCGGGAGGACUUGGAGGACGACGAGCGCCCCAUUCAGCGACCUCGGAAGGCGAGCAAGGCGGUGUUUUACGAUUCUGAGGACGAGCAUGCUAGCAAACGUACAAAGACACUAAAGAAGCCCCCACCGUCUAAGCGCAAGUCUGCUGCAGGCCUUGAAAAAGAUCUCUUCGAUUCGGAAGACGAACAAGUUCAUAAGCGAGUCGGCAAAGAGACGAAGAGACCUGCAGCGUUGAAGCGCAAACGAGCUCGGGCUGACGGUUGGGAGCUGGAGCUGGACGACGAGGA